rnacentral:rRNA from 1 species
CCUACGGGCCGCAGCAGUGGGGAAUAUUGCACAAUGGGCGCAAGCCUGAUGCAGCCAUGCCGCGUGUAUGAAGAAGGCCUUAGGGUUGUAAAGUACUUUCAGUUGGGAGGAAGACGUUGAUGCUAAUAUCAUCAGCGAUUGACGUUACCAACAGAAGAAGCACCGGCUAACUCCGUGCCAGCAGCCGCGGUAAUACGGAGGGUGCAAGCGUUAAUCGGAAUUACUGGGCGUAAAGCGCACGCAGGCGGUUGAUUAAGUUAGAUGUGAAAUCCCCGGGCUUAACCUGGGAAUGGCAUCUAAGACUGGUCAGCUAGAGUCUUGUAGAGGGGGGUAGAAUUCCAUGUGUAGCGGUGAAAUGCGUAGAGAUGUGGAGGAACACCGGUGGCGAAGGCAGCCCCCUGGACAAGGACUGACGCUCAGGUGCGGAAGCGUGGGGAGCAAACAGGAUUAGAUACCCGAGUAGUC